GAUGAACGCUGGCGGCAGGCCUAACACAUGCAAGUCGAACGAAGUCUUCGGACUUAGUGGCGGACGGGUGAGUAACACGUGGGAACGUACCUUUUGGUUCGGAACAACUCAGGGAAACUUGAGCUAAUACCGGAUGAGCCCUUAGGGGGAAAGAUUUAUCGCCGAAAGAGCGGCCCGCGUUAGAUUAGCUAGUUGGUGAGGUAAAGGCUCACCAAGGCUACGAUCUAUAGCUGGUCUGAGAGGAUGAUCAGCCACACUGGGACUGAGACACGGCCCAGACUCCUACGGGAGGCAGCAGUGGGGAAUCUUGCGCAAUGGGCGAAAGCCUGACGCAGCCAUGCCGCGUGAAUGAUGAAGGUCUUAGGAUUGUAAAAUUCUUUUACCAGGGACGAUAAUGACGGUACCUGGAGAAAAAGCCCCGGCUAACUUCGUGCCAGCCGCCGCGGUAA
rnacentral:rRNA from 1 species